rnacentral:rRNA from 1 species
AUUGAACGCUGGCGGCAUGCUUUACACAUGCAAGUCGAACGGUAACAGGCCGCAAGGUGCUGACGAGUGGCGAACGGGUGAGUAAUGCAUCGGAACGUGCCCAGUCGUGGGGGAUAACGCAGCGAAAGCUGCGCUAAUACCGCAUACGAUCUAUGGAUGAAAGCGGGGGACCGUAAGGCCUCGCGCGAUUGGAGCGGCCGAUGUCAGAUUAGGUAGUUGGUGAGGUAAAGGCUCACCAAGCCAACGAUCUGUAGCUGGUCUGAGAGGACGACCAGCCACACUGGGACUGAGACACGGCCCAGACUCCGACGGGAGGCAGAAGUGGGGAAUUUUGGACAAUGGGCGCAAGCCUGAUCCAGCAAUGCCGCGUGCAGGAAGAAGGCCUUCGGGUUGUAAACUGCUUUUGUACGGAACGAAACGGUCCGGGUUAAUACCCUGGGCUAAUGACGGUACCGUAAGAAUAAGCACCGGCUAACUACGUGCCAGCCGCCGCCGUAA